AUUCAAAUGCUGAGUCCAAAAUAGGAUGAAACGCGAGUCCUGAAU
rnacentral:hammerhead_ribozyme from 1 species